AACGUAGGAGGCAAGCGUUAUCCGGAUUUACUGGGCGUAAAGCGUGUGUAGGCGGUUCGGCAAGUUGGAUGUGAAAGCUCCUGGCUUAACUAGGAGAGGUCGUUCAAUACUACCGAACUUGAGGGCAUCAGAGGAAGGUGGAAUUCCCGGUGUAGUGGUGAAAUGCGUAGAUAUCGGGAGGAACACCAGUGGCGAAGGCGGCCUUCUGGGAUGUUCCUGACGCUCAGACACGAAAGCUAGGGUAGCGAACGGG
rnacentral:rRNA from 1 species